rnacentral:tRNA from 1 species
GCGGGUAUAGUAUAUCGGCUAUUAUGCGGCUUUCCCAAAGCUGAGAGGAGGGUUCGACUCCCUCUACCCGCACCA